rnacentral:rRNA from 1 species
ACGGGAGGCAGCAGUGAGGAAUAUUGGUCAAUGGACGGAAGUCUGAACCAGCCAUGCCGCGUGAAGGAAUAAGGCCCUAUGGGUCGUAAACUUCUUUUGAGUGGGAGCAAUAAGGUGCACGCGUGCAUCGAUGAGAGUACCAUUCGAAUAAGCAUCGGCUAACUCCGUGCCAGCAGCCGCGGUAAUACGGAGGAUGCAAGCGUUAUCCGGAUUUAUUGGGUUUAAAGGGUGCGUAGGCUGUUUGUCAAGUCAGGGGUGAAAUGCCGAGGCUUAACCUUGGAAUUGCCUUUGAUACUGGCAGGCUUGAAUACAGUUGCCGUGGGAGGAAUGAGUAGUGUAGCGGUGAAAUGCAUAGAUAUUACUCAGAACACCGAUUGCGAAGGCAUCUCACGAAACUGCGAUUGACGCUGAGGCACGAAAGUGUGGGGAUCAAACAGGAUUAGAUACCCUGGUA